UAUGAUGGUUUUAAAUUGGGUCCUUCUAUCUCUCUCUCACUACACUAAAACAUAAAGUUGCCAGCCACCUUCCUUGACCCUUUGGUUUCCUAACAACAAAAUUUCUUCAACUCAUCAUCAUCUUCAAUACAAAAUUCACUAUUACAUGAAAACUCAAUUUCUAUAGAUAACCCAUUGCAUAACCCACAAUCGAUAUAAAAGGGGUAAUUCUAUAUUGAAGAUAGAGAUUCAAAGCAAAUCCCUCACUAUACAAUUUUUUCAUCUACUGUAAUCACAAAGCCUAUCGCAUAACCCACCAUAUGAGACACAACAAAACUCACCGAGCAGCAGAGAUCGGGAGCUCCUGAAACCUGUCGCCACCACCGUUGACCAUGACGGCGGCGCGUCGUCGUCAAAACCCUCGCCGGCGUCCAGUUCACCGUCGCAUAACUCCGGCCGUGAGUUGGUAGAAGUUGUGAAAGAUGCGAAAACGACAAAGGAUCCGACAUACGCUAAAAUAUUGAGUUCUACGUUGACUUCGAUAUUGGGUUGGGCUGAACAAAGACUUCUUGCGUAUCAUGAUACAUUUGAUAACGUAAACAUUAAUUCUAUGCAAAGUAUUGUGUCUUUAGGGGUAUCAGCUGCUAAAAUAUUGGUUGAAGAUAUAUCUAAUGAGUAUCGCCGAAGAUGGAAAAAUGAUACCGAUGUGGCGCGAAGUCGGACUGAUACGUACAUUAGGUCAUCGCUUCGAACGACUUUUGCUCAGUGUAUUAUUGAGCAUGGUGCACUCCCGUGCCUGUUGAGUUUGUUGGCCAAUAACCACAAAAAAGCAUCAAAUAAGAAGCCUGAUGGACAAUCUCAAACAUCACGGUUGGAAAGAAAUAACAAAUCUAGUCUGUAAUCGAAGCUGGGUUAAUCACUCCCCUGGUCCAUCUCCUUGAGACUGCUGAAUUUGAUAUAAAGAAAGAAGCUGAAUGGGCGCUUGCAAAUGCCACUUCUGCUUGCACUAAUGAAAAAAUGAAGUUACUUUUUACAUUCUUUAUAAACUCAAGAUCCUAAAUUGAGUUUAGCAAAGAUUGAGAACUUAUAGUCUCAGGAAAAUAAUGAAAUUUAUGAAAAUGCCGUGAAAAUUCUCGAGACUCACUGGUUGGAAGAAGAGGAGCCCAUGCUUGAUGGUUCACAGCUUGGUUUCGACUUUGGCGGUCCAACUGCCCAAGUUCUACCUGGUCCAAGGACCGAGUAUGGAAAUGCCCAGCUAGAAUGCAGUGCAGCUGACGAACAUGCCAAGUUGCUAGCUUCUGAGGUUAUUGGAUUAAAGGAGAAGGUACUACACACUCAUGGUAGCUAAUAUAUUCAAUUUAAUAUAUCUAUAUAUAUUCAAAAAUUUAGUUACAUGUUCCUAUGUGGCGCGAAGUCGGACUGAUACGUACAUUAGGUCAUCGCUUCGAACGGCUUUUGCUCAGGUAUGUUUUUUUUUUUGUUAUUAUAUUUUUAAGGGUAAAAUGCCAUUUUAGUCCCUGAGUUAUAUUAAAACAAAAAUGAGAUAUUUGUUUUGGCAACCAUUACUUAUUUCUUUCUACCUUCAUAUCAACAGACCUCAUAACAAAUUUAAUUAUAAUUGACUACUGAAACUUGAGAUGUUAUGUUAGUUACAACAACCCUUCCCACUGUCGUUUCAUAAAAAACCAAUAACUAUUAUGCAUGUCGUGCAUCGCACGGGUAUUCCCCCUAGUAUAUGUUAAAAACUAAACUGAAUGAACAGUUAUUAAAGGGCACACCAGUAAAUAGAGGUCGCACCUCUCCAGCUUUCCUCUACGUCUGAGAAUUGAUUCAGGCCACGCGUCUCAUGUGAAGGCCCAGUAUAAAACCCUAAACCUGCUUCACCCCACACACCGCCGAUUACAUGGAGAGAGAACGAUGAGAGAGAACGGUGGCUGGCCAUGUCCCGUGUGUGUUCCGGAACGGCGCCGUUGCCUAUCACUGGUGGUGUGGUGGUGACUAAAGAGAUUAUUAGUGUGUGGUGGUUCCGGAUUCAGGGUGCGGUUCCGGUGGUGAUUAGCGGCGUAGAGAAGAUGCUAGGGUUCCGGUGAAGGCCCUGCAAAUUUACGGUACCACAGGUGCGGGAUCAGCAUGAACGCCGAUGAGAGAUCUGAAAGUUUUAGGGUUCCGACGAAGUCAGCUUAGCUCCGAUGAGAACCCGCUUUCCUGAACCAGGUUUUGGUUUGUGAUGUGCUAGCUUUGGCUCUUGCAUUUGGUGUUUUGGAUGGUAAACCCUAAAGUCUUUCAACUGAUUGAUUGGUUUUCGACGUAGAAAGACGACUUCCAGCCAAAUUUGAUCAGUUCCGACGAGUGGGGUGAAGGUUUUGCUCAGAAUCCGGUCACCACAGAACUCAAAACAGGCGAGUAAGGGGUUGUAUAGAUGAAAUCGGACAAGAGGUGGACAAUGAUUGUUAAGAUGGGUUACGUUUGUAUAAGAAAAGGGCUGAUUGUUCAGUAUCAAUUUUCAUAUAGGCCCAUCAUUCAGUAUGCUUUGACAAGCUCAUCUUAGAGUAACAGUUGUCUCUGGAGCUAUGUUGUUGUGAGCAAGAUGUGCCUGGUGUUCGUGAAAGGCAAAGCUUAACUUCCCAGAGCGUGUUCAAGAUUAGUGAUUUCCCAUUGAAUUCAUGUUCGGAGAGGUGCACAUAGAGCAUAUAUCUACAGCCUUGCUUUCUCUACGACGACUGAAAGGCUGGCUGUUUCAAGUGACAGGAAAACCGUUCAUGUUUUCAACUUUAAGGUUCAAUAGGGGCCAUUGCAAACUGCCAUCAGACCCAUAUAGUGGAUAACAAAGGUAGUAUUCUUAAUUUAAUAUGUUGUUCAAGGUGCAGAUUUUAUAUAGCCAACUCUUGCUGGAAACGCUUGGUUGUGUACAUUCGAAAUAGCCAACACUUGCUGGAAAUGCUUUGAUAUAUGUAUUUUGACUUUAAUAUGUUGCUGAUUGUGCACUUUUGAUUA